rnacentral:rRNA from 1 species
GACGAACGCUGGCGGCGUGCUUAACACAUGCAAGUCGAACGGAAAGGCCCUGCUUUUGUGGGGGGCUCGAGUGGCGAACGGGUGAGUAACACGUGAGUAACCUGCCCUUGACUUUGGGAUAACUUCAGGAAACUGGGGCUAAUACCGGAUAGGAGCUCCUGCUGCAUGGUGGGUGUUGGAAAGUUUCGGCGGUUGGGGAUGUACUCGCGGCUUAUCAGCUUGUUGGUGGGGUAGUGGCUUACCAAGGCUUUGACGGGUAGCCGGCCUGAGAGGGUGAGCGGCCACAUUGGGACUGAGAGACGGCCCAGACUCCUACGGGAGGCAGCAGUGGGGAAUAUUGCACAAUGGGCGGAAGCCUGAUGCAGUAACGCAGCGUGCGGGAUGACGGCCUUCGGGUUGUAAACCGCUUUCGCCUGUGACGAAGCGUGAGUGACGGUAAUGGGUAAAGAAGCACCGGCUAACUACGUG